rnacentral:rRNA from 1 species
AGUGAACGCUGGCGGUAGGCCUAACACAUGCAAGUCGAACGGCAGCACAGUAAGAGCUUGCUCUUACGGGUGGCGAGUGGCGGACGGGUGAGGAAUACAUCGGAAUCUACUUUUUCGUGGGGGAUAACGUAGGGAAACUUGCGCUAAUACCGCAUACGACCUACGGGUGAAAGCAGGGGAUCUUCGGACCUUGCGCGAUUGAAUGAGCCGAUGUCGGAUUAGCUAGUUGGCGGGGUAAAGGCCCACCAAGGCGACGAUCCGUAGCUGGUCUGAGAGGAUGAUCAGCCACACUGGAACUGGGACACGGUCCAGACUCCUACGGGAGGCAGCAGUGGGGAAUAUUGGACAAUGGGCGCAAGCCUGAUCCAGCCAUACCGCGUGGGUGAAGAAGGCCUUCGGGUUGUAAAGCCCUUUUGUUGGGAAAGAAAAGCAGCAGGUUAAUACCCCGCUGUUCUGACGGUACCCAAAGAAUAAGCACCGGCUAACUUCGUG